GACGAACGCUGGCGGCGUGCUUAACACAUGCAAGUCGAACGGAAAGGCCUGCUUUCCCUUGUGUAUUGCGGUUACUCGAGUGGCGAACGGGUGAGUAACACGUGAGUUAUCUGCCCCCAACUUUGGUAUAAGCCUGGGAAACUGGGUCUAAUGCCCGAUAGGACUGCAGUGGGGGGCCGUUGGUGGAGAACGAUUGUCUAGGGGUUGGGGAUGAGCUGUCGGCCUAUGAGGUUGUGGGUUGGGUAAUGUCCGACCAGUGCUGCGACGGGUAGGCUGCCUGAGAGAGUCGACCGGAACAGUGGGACUGAGACACGGCGAAGACUACUCCGGCAGGACGCAGUGGGGAAUAUGGAACAAUGAGCGGAAGACUAAUGCCGCGACGCUGCGUGGGGGAUGCCGGCCUUCGGGUUGUAACCUCCUGUCGAUAGCGCGGAAGCCACCUGGUUGGAAGGGUGGUGACGGUAGUGGUAGAAGAAGCACCGGCUAACUACGUG
rnacentral:rRNA from 1 species